UACGAAGGGGGCUAGCGUUGCUCGGAAUCACUGGGCGUAAAGGGCGCGUAGGCGGCUCAUGAAGGCUGUGGUGAAAGUCCGGGGCUCAACCUCGGAUCGGCCGUGGCGACUCGUGGGCUGGAGCACUGUAGAGGCGGGUGGAAUUCCGGGUGUAGCGGUGGAAUGCGUAGAGAUCCGGAAGAACACCAGUGGCGAAGGCGGCCCGCUGGGCAGUGGCUGACGCUGAAGCGCGACAGCGUGGGGAGCAAACAGG
rnacentral:rRNA from 1 species